rnacentral:sRNA from 1 species
CUACACUGUGUUUGCUUUGUUAUAUGAGCUAAUGCAACAGUGUCCCAGUAUGCAACAGUUGAAUAUAUGUUGUAAAGAAAACAAUGUCCCACAGCUAAUUGUGUUGAUAUUAAUCGCUGUAACUAUAGUUCUACAGUAAGAUCAAGCAUAUCUUUUACAAUAUACGCAAUUGUAAAACAUAGCAUUGAACUAGUAUAGCAUGCGUUGAAAUCCCAAACUAUAGCACUGGAAUCUCAUAUCAUAAUAUACAAUCUCAUAGAUUCUUAUUUGUCAUAUCAUGCCAUGGUAUAUCAUAGCAUAGCAUACACCAUGAUUUUAACUCGGUUUUGAAUAACUUUAUUUCAAAGAAUAAAUGUUCACAUUACAGGUUAGUGUUUAAUUAUGGCUUCUUAUUAAUCUAUUUCAAAAUGCUUGAAAUUCUUUUGUGUAUGGAUGCAUUUUGUUCAAAUAUCAUAGCAUUCUCAUAGCAUAUCAAUAAACCUCGUAUCAUAGCAUAGCAUAAAAUUAUAAAAGAUAUGCACGAAAUGACUGUAGGACAAAGCUAAGUCACAAAACUGUCUAUAUUUAACACAUAUCCUACUAACUGGAAUGAUAUUUGUACGUACCCAAUAUUUAUAUCAGAGAGGACUUGGUGUCUCAGGAACAAUAACUUUACAAAAAACACUAUACCUACUGUCUUUACCACCACCUGUCCUGUAUAUUUACAGUGUGCUAUCUAAUACAACGAUAAACUACCAGGAGUUAUCUUCCAUGACGAGUAUUCUCGUUAUAUACAGCGACCUCUGUGAAGUAGAGAUGUGUGUUGUGUGUAUUGUUUGUUGAUUGUAUAUUGCACUCAUAUAAUAACAUGUCGUUUUCGAUAUUAACAUAUCACUGCUACCACACAAUGUUGCAUAUGUUGAAAAAAAAAAUUACAAUAUAUAAUGAUUACAGGAAAAAAAAAUUCAACGUACACUGUACAUGUAUAUGUUUCUGUCAGAAGAAAAAAGAAGCAAUAUAUCUUCUUGUAUUGAUAUUUACAAAGUGAUUUGGCGUAUCUAACGAAUUCGACUUCUAAACUCAGAGUGGAUACUCGAUAUUUAUAUAUCUAAUAGCAUUGCAUUGAAAUCUCAUGGCAUUUCAAUAAACUGCAUAUCAUAACAAAACAUUGUAAAAGAUAUGAAUGAAAUGACUGUAAGACAAAUGCCUUGUUACACAACUGUCUAUAUUUAACACACAUCCUACUAACUGGAAUGAUAUUUGUAUGUAUUUAAUAUUUAUAAAAGAGGGGACUUCAUCUCGGAGGAACAAUAACUUUAAAAGAAACUAUAUUCCUACUGUCUGUACCACCACCUGUCCUGUGUAUUGAUAGUACAUUGUCUAAAACAACGAUAAACUACCAGGAGUUAUCUUCCAUGACGAGAAUUCUCGUUAUAUACAGGGAACUCUGUGCAGUAGAUGUUUGUUGUGUGUAUUGUUUGUUGAUUGUAUAUUGCACUCAUAUAAUAACAUGUCGAUAUUAAGAUAUCAAUGCUACCACGCAAUGUUGCAUAUGUAGAAAAAAAGAUUAACAAUAUAUAAUGAUUACAGGAAAGAAAUAUAUUCAAUGUACACUGUACAUGUAUAUGUUUUUGUCAGAAGAAAAAAAAGAAAAA